rnacentral:lncRNA from 10 species
ACCCCGAGUUUGUGAGACACAAGUCCUCAGUGGGGGAUUGAGCCUGUUUCCUUGCUCCAGAGCUCCCCAUGCUUCAUGGGCCAAUAUCAGGGUCACGACCCAUCCCCACUGAGCACCAGGUCCCUGUCCAAAUCAAACCUUGGCCAGAGCUUCAGGGUGGGUUGGCUAGAAAAACCAUCAACUAUGUACGUGUGUGUGUGUGUGUGUGUGUGUGUGUGUGUGUGUGUGUAUAAAUGCUUGUGCCUGGGUCUGUGACCCAAGUUCCAACACAAAGACACUUUGUACUGGAACGCUGGAGCCAUUCCAACAUGAACAGCAAGAAUAGAACCUGUGCUGGCUGGUCUAAGAUCAAACCUCGAGAUGGUGGUUUGAAGUUCUUCUUCAAAGAAAGCUUGAAAAUGAAAUCUCAGUAGGCAAGACAGAUAAAAGCAGAGUUAUUCUGGUGGCGGCGGAAAUGGGAGGAGGGCUGGAAACCUAUCCUUUGCCUCCACUCCCAUCUUCCCACUUUAGCAUCCCCUGACAAAGCUCUGUGGAAUAUCAGGGGUUCCGCAGCACCUGGUUUGAAAACCACUGUGUCAGUGUCUACAAACCAUAGGCCCCACGGACCUGUGCUUUGACUUCCCUUUUGGGGUGACGAGUUGGAGUGUGAUGGGGGGAGGAUGUUUCCCCUUCAACAGGGCGUGUCUUUGAAGCCGCUGUGCAGUGACCCUGUGGGGAAGUGGUAGAGGUGGGGUCCUGCCACUUUCGUCCAGGAGGAAUGGCAGAAGAGAUGGAGCUGCCUGGGCCAGGAGGAAACACCAAGCCCAGUGCAGGCCGUAUAGAUGAGGGUUCAGGAGUGUUUUGGUCCUUUUGAGUUUAAAAAAUUAUAGAUAUCAGAACAGGCAUAGGCCUAUGUCCAUGAGACCCUAUAAGAGUGUAAGACUGGGACCUAACCCCUUCCUCCUGGAUGGGUGGAGAGCAACCAGUCCCCAGUGACAGGCAGGAGAGAAGCUGCCGCUCUGGGAUGCUGACGCCACUGCAUCCGCUGUGGCUCGGCUCUCAGGACAAAAGGCUUGGGUUUUUCCUGGGCCCGAAGCCCUCCCAAUGUCACUGAGAAGCUGUGGUGGCUCCAGUUGCUCCUGGAAGAGGCCUUACACUUUGAAGGGAAGGAACAGACAAUUUCUAUUUCUCCUUGCCCUUAGAUUUCUGCGGAUGGGUGGUUUCAGCUCCCUGAGCCUGGGGGCUGGUGGCUCUCUUUAACCUGGGUCAGAGCCAAGGCCCCUUGGCCUCUGUGGGGUCUGAGAGAUGGGAGAUGUGACACCAGGCCUAGGAGGGUCCAAGAUGUCCCCCUCCACCAAUCACUGACAAUAUCCAGGUCUUCCCUCUGUGUCCUGGUUGCUGGGACCACUAUUUUUGGGCAUGAUAUUCCUGAAUUGUAUCUAAAUUUCCCUCUCAGCUGGGUCAUCAAAGCCAAAUUGGCUGUAUCUCAUUCUGGUUGACAUCUGCCUAAGUGAGAAGCAGGGCAAGCGAUGAAGACUGGUGGGGAGGGCUCCUCCUGCAGCAAACUUUCUGUGUGACCUUGGGCCAUCCCUGCAGUGGCAGGGCCACACACAUCCAGCCAUUUUCAACUUACAGAGCCCUGACCGCUGACUUUCAUCUCAUCUGGGCCUCAUAACAAUUCCUGCGUCAGGCAGGGAAGGGAUUACAAUCCCAUUUUACAGUUAGGGAAAUUGAGCCCCAGAGGUUGAGUAGCUUGCCCAAGCCCCCCAGGUGGUUGGUGACAGGCAGGACUGAGAGGCGGCAUUGGGGACUUCCAGGACAGAGUUCCUUUCACUGCACCAUGUAGGAACCAGCUUGUCAGGAACUCUCCCACAGAACCAACAGCCAGGUGAACCCACUCUAGCAGGUCUGAGCUUUGAGGCUGAGGAGAGGUGCAGCCAAAUAACUCAGUCCUUAUCUUCAUGGGGACUGAACUCUUCCCCUGGGUGGAAUGCUGAGGAGGUCCCGCUGGCUCUCUGCUCGGUGGGUUUUCACCGGGGCAUGCUUUUCCUUCCUGCCCGGACCGGUGUCCACACGC